ensembl:lncRNA
UGGGUUCCUUAAUGGGCCUGGCUAUGAACACUCAGUCAGGGAGUUCCCUCUCUGCCACAAUUUGGAUUUGGAGUUCUAAGUGGAUUCGGUUACGAUUGCCAAGCAUUGUACGACUGAGAGACUGCAACGGUUGAAUUUAAAAAUCAUGAUUUGUAUUCUACUGAAGAAACAAAGUCACAUACAUCUUGGAUGCCCUGGUGGCAAAGGCAGUCUGAAGUUUCCAUCCUUCAGCUCGGAGCAGCACUUUCCUGAACUCCGGCCAGGAAAAUGUGUGUCGGCUUGGCAGCUUGACUGUGGGAAGACUAUGGGCAAAAACUGGUGGAGUUUUGCAGCAAAGGGCUUUAUAUAGCCUUACAGCUCCUCGGGACUCCCUCUUUGGUGCAGACAGAGUGAUAGAGACAUCAAUAGAGGGAUACUAUGCAGCAAGAGCUGCAAUUACAGGAACAUAAUGAGUGGAAAUGAGAGAUGUCAGAGUUUAAACAGAAAAUGGCUUGGUAAAAUAAGUGUAUUAUGGUUUAAAAUUACUCCACUGCGUGUAAACUUUAAAAUAGACAUUCUAUAGAGUCUGAACCCCGGGACCAAUGGUCUGUUACCUCCAGAUAAAGCUUUAAUUUCAUGUUCAGCUGCACAAGGAAAACAAAUGCUAUUCCCCGGUCUCUGUUAAUUACUGCCAUCCCAUUUCAGGAAGAAGUUUAUCCCCCUCCUCUUUGUUUUCUCUGUUAUCUACUGUACAUGACUUCCUAUAUGAGCACUGAGGCAGGCCGGUCCACUCACAGAGACUCCUGCAUCAGGUUCGGAGAGAGAGACAGAGACCCUUACAUUAUGAAUGAGAAUGAGAUACAAUAUGCUUUUAUUCUGUCAUUAUAGUAAAGAAAUUAUUAAAAUAUUGUACAAGGAAUAUUUGCUUUUUUUAGUUGACAUUGUAUCCACAAUAUUAUAAUGUUAUAGGUAUAAACCUAUUUAAUUUUUUAUGUUAUAUGUUAAAUGCUAGGACUGUCAUUUAAAAAAAAAAAUGAUUGUCAUAAAAUAUUUAUUUUAUUAAGUUGACAUUGUAUCUUCAGUUUUCUAAUAAUU